rnacentral:lncRNA from 1 species
GUCAGGAUAACCCAAGGCGCAGGCGCGGCGGGGCCUUAAAGGGACCCGGCGGCCUCUUCUGCACAACGGGUUCGAGCAGUCUCCCUGAGCACAAUUUAUUUGCUGAAAGGCCACAUCUCACUAUGGAGUGAGGAUCAAGAAGUAAAGGUCUGAAAGAGAGAAGCUGCGGGGCUGGGGAGACUGUUGGUCGGAGAGGCGUCGGGGGCCCAAGGAAAAGGGAGGAUUGUGGGGAGGAAUCGGCGUAGAGAUGAGAGGAGCAGCAGAGACAGAGUCUCACGCAGAGGUGUGCCCAGACACCCUGAACCAAGUUACUUAACCUCGUCCACCACCGUGGCACCCGUGGGGUCCGUGGGCCCGUCGGUCUUCCAGGAGGGAUUCUGUGUCCCUGUUAUUGUGUGUCAACAUGUGUUAGCCUGAUAUUUAUAUUUUUAAUGAGAGAAAACGAACUCUGGAAUUUGCGAACUGUUUUUUCGUUUUGCUUUAUACCUCUUGGACACUCCUUCCGAAGGAUUGGGUCUCAAGGGCAGUGGGGUGUGACUACGGUAGACAGGGCUGAUUAAUUUUCAUCCAAAACUCUUUGGCGGAUUCCCCUGCUCUCCGCUUCUCCGGUCUAACAGUAGUUUAAAAUAGAAGAUCAGCAACAUUUGGAGAGUUUUUUUCUUUGCAUUUUAAUGAUAAACUUGAUUUAUUCCAUUCCAAAA